GCUUGGACUACCAGGAAUAUCAAGAGGAACCUGCCCUGUUCUCAGACAGCAGAGCCAGACACAGGAAGGACACUGUCACCUCCAGGCUGUUGUGACUGUCACCACUGAUGCCUGCAGAAAUUGAGGGAGAAGAAGCCAUCCUCUUCUAGAGAUCUUCAAGACAGAAGAUC